UCUGGUUCUACCGAGUUGCCCUACAGUUUGCCAGUUUCUUUAUCCGUUUCAUUGCAAACUUCUGUUCACAGGAUCUACAGCAAACAGUGUUGCAUGUUACACUUGCUUGAUUGCUCCAGGCAUCAUUAAAACCUGCUGGUUGGUCCAUUAAGGGGCCUAUUAAAAUUAGGUGCAUGGACCAACUGCCUGGACGACUGGUAAAAGAAUUCACCCAGCUUGCAUAAAGUGUUCUAGGUGGGCAGCUCAUUUCAAAGCUUGCAGGGGUUCGUUGGCAUCAGGAAAACCUGCUUGUUGGUCCAUAGGAGGCUGUUUCUGGAAACUAGGUGGACCAACGACCUGGACGGCAAGUAAGAAAAUAGUCGCGCAGCUUGAAUAAUGUGUUCCAGGCUGGUGUCACAGCUCAUUUUUCAAAGUUUAGUGUCUCCAUUGGCAUCAAUUAAAAGAAAACUUGCUUGUUGGUCCAUAAGGUUUCCUUUUUCUGGAAAUUAGGUGGACCAACGGCCUGGACGACAAAUUGGUGUCAGCUCGUUUCAAAGCUUAGUAUCUCCGUUGGCAUCAAAACCUGCUUGUUGGUCCAUAAGGUUUCCUAUUUCUGGAAACUAUAGGUGGACCAACGACCUGAACGACAAGUGAGAAAAUAGUUCACGCAGCUUGAAUGCAUAAUUUAAUGUGUUUGAGCUCAUUUCAAAGCUUGGUGUCUCCUUUGGCAUCAUUAAACUGGAAAACCUGCUCGUUGGUCCAUAAGGUUACCUGUUUAUGGAAACUGGAUGGACCAACGUCCUUGGACGACAAGCAAGAAAUAGUUCACGCAGCUUGAUUUCAUGUAUACUCAUUUCAAUGUUUGGUGGCUCCUUUAGCAUUGAAAACCUGCUUGUUGAUCUAUUAAAGUUUCCAGUUUCUAGAAAUUGGGUAAACCAACAGACAACAGGGGUAAGAAAAGAGUUUUUAUGCAGCUUGCAUUUAUUGUGUUGGUUUCAACUUUCCAAGUUUGGUGGCUCCAUUGGCAUCAAUUAAACGAGAUAACUGCAUGGGGCCCCAUCGUAUAAGUAUAUCAUAAAAAUUAUUCCUGGAAAUUCGAUGGACCAAUCCAUGCAGGUAAGAAAAUAAUUAUGUUUCUCCAGUUAUUGACUACUAUUACAUACAGUGCAUGCUGCCUCAGUGUGGGACCUGACAUCUUGUGGUUAGACAUCAUUCAAAAUGUUGAACAGCUUCAUCUUUUGAAUAUGUGUGUGUGGGUGUUGUUGCAUAAACUUUGCUAUUUGAUGUGGUUGAUUUAAACCUGGCUGCGGUGCCGAUUAUGACAUCUAAUGAACUCUGAUCUUUCUGGCUUAAUUCUAUAGAUCUAGACUUAGGCUGUAUAAUGACUGAUUCUAAUGAAGAGCAGGCUGCCACAGGCAAUGAACAAGAUGACUUUGAAUUCUCGGUCAGAUCAAGAAAAUGCACCGAGUUGUUCAGGGAAAGGGAAUCGUGUCAACUCAAUUCAGGAGUGACCAAGAGGGCCAUAAUGAGCCUUUUGAUAAGAUAAGUCAAGCCGGAUACAAAGUACAGGUAAUCGUACAAACUCAAACAUUAGAUCUCUACAAUCAUGCCAUUGCAGGAUAAUGUUUCAAAGUCAGAAACAAAGCCGUCUGGAAUUCCAGUGCCAUUGCUGUCUGCAUAUCUCAUCAGUGUACAUGAACAGCGUGCUUUCAACUCAUUGGACAACUCUCUCCGGUCGUUUGUUAUACAGGGAAUCAAUAGAAUCGAUUCCUCUUUGAAUGUUGGUCUGUUGAUCUAUUAACUUCACUGAGCAUGGAGUUUCUUUUCGUCUCACACUGUGGGUUGCACUUCAGUGAUGGUAUACAGUGGGUAUACUGGUGCAGUUGUGAUAGUGCACGUGGCAACUUACUAAAUAGCUGCUCCACUUCGGUUGAUUCCACAUAUGAUGCAUUCACAAGCAUUGUUGGCUCUGAAUGUAUCCACAACGAACCAACUAGACUGAUUAUCCAAGAGACUGACAAUAUUCACAACAUUACAUCAGCUCAAGAAUUAUCAGAUCAUUCGUAUACUUUGAAUAUCGAACCUCACAAGGAGGACACCUCCUACAGUAUAAAUGUUGGCACAGAGGUUGUAUGCUCUAUUGGGCAGGCGGUAUGUACAAGAGCUGAUAUAGUGGCCAUGGUGUUGUACAAGUUCGUAUUGAUGAUAAACAAUUAAGGGGUCUGUACUGUUGUACAUGCAUGCAAGUACAAUAAACAGCACAGUUCACAUGUGGACAUUGUCGAGAAAGCAUUGAAUAGCCCGGAUGAGGAUAAACAUGACUGCCUCAAUAAAAUUGCAAAAGAUCUGUCUAGUGUGCAGCAGAAUAGACAAGUGCAUGUGCAUCAGUAUCGGUCCCUUAAUUUCAUCAAGCAGUAUAUACCGUUCAAUUUAUCAAGUGAAUUGUCUCAACAACUGGCAUGUACUGUAGCUGAUCGCUUCAACAUUGUAAACAACACUUCUAUUUUGGGCUCAGUCGACACAUAUUGUAAAGUGUGCAGUACGCUUACACGAGAUGAAGAAGACAAGCAGGAAUCUGUACGGAGCAAAAUUAUACUGCUCAAUACAGUUAUCAAUGCGAAUGUGCAUGUUAGGUAUUGCUCAGGAUGUAAGAAACGUAAAGAAUUUGAUGGCCAACUAGUAGGAUUAGUGACUAUGGGCAAGUUCCUGGUAUCCUAUGAAGUUCUGCGAGGUUUUAUGCAUCAAUUCCUUUUGGGAAGAACAACUAUAUAUACCCAGUAUUGUGUGUUGGUUAAAAACCAUGAAGAUGCAGGAUUCGGCGAUCAGUUUAAUAAGUAUUAGUAUAUGUUUACAUACAAUCACUAUCGGUUGUCGUGGUAUGCCUUUCUUUACCGGUUAGACAUUGAUUAUCAAGUAGGAUUUCAGUGCACUGCGUGUGGAGAUUGUCCACCCAUUGUUGUCAUGGAUGCUACUUGUUUAGCAUUCAGAAAAGACCUUAUGCCCUGGAAGUCCCAACUCAACGGUUCUGGAGUUCAUAAAACCUCAUCCCCUAUCAGCUGUACUGGAAG